rnacentral:rRNA from 1 species
CAACGUGGGUAACCUGCCCUGAUGAUCGGGACAACCCGAGGAAACUCGAGCUAAUACCGAAUGUGCCCUCCGGCCAUAAGGCCACUGGGGAAAGGAAGCUUCGGCCUCCGCAUUGGGAUGGGCCCGCGGCCCAUUAGCUUGUUGGUGAGGUAACGGCUCACCAAGGCAAUGAUGGGUAGCUGGUCUGAGAGGACGAUCAGCCACACUGGGACUGAGACGCGGCCCAG